AACCUGCCUCGGAGUGGGGAAUAACACAACGAAAGCUGUGCUAAUACCGCAUGAUACAGUUGGGUCGCAUGACUCUGACUGUCAAAGAUUUAUCGCUCUGAGAUGGCCUCGCGUCUGAUUAGCUAGUUGGUGAGGUAACGGCCCACCAAGGCGACGAUCAGUAGCCGGACUGAGAGGUUGACCGGCCACAUUGGGACUGAGAUACGGCCCAG
rnacentral:rRNA from 1 species